rnacentral:rRNA from 1 species
UACGUAGGGUGCAAGCGUUGUCCGGAAUUAUUGGGCGUAAAGAGCUUGUAGGCGGUUUGUCGCGUCUGCUGUGAAAUUUCGGGGCUCAACCCCGAACUUGCAGUGGGUACGGGCAGACUAGAGUGUGGUAGGGGAGACUGGAAUUCCUGGUGUAGCGGUGAAAUGCGCAGAUAUCAGGAGGAACACCGAUGGCGAAGGCAGGUCUCUGGGCCAUAACUGACGCUGAGAAGCGAAAGCAUGGGGGAGCGAACAGG